GAUGAACGCUGGCGGCGUGCCUAAUACAUGCAAGUCGAGCGAACAGACGAGGAGCUUGCCCCUCUGACGUUAGCGGCGGACGGGUGAGUAACACGUGGAUAACCUACCUAUAAGACUGGGAUAACUUCGGGAAACCGGAGCUAAUACCGGAUAAUAUAUUGAACCGCAUGGUUCAAUAGUGAAAGACGGUUUUGCUGUCACUUAUAGAUGGAUCCGCGCCGCAUUAGCUAGUUGGUAAGGUAACGGCUUACCAAGGCAACGAUGCGUAGCCGACCUGAGAGGGUGAUCGGCCACACUGGAACUGAGACACGGUCCAGACUCCUACGGGAGGCAGCAGUAGGGAAUCUUCCGCAAUGGGCGAAAGCCUGACGGAGCAACGCCGCGUGAGUGAUGAAGGUCUUCUGAUCGUAAAACUCUGUUAUUAGGGAAGAACAAAUGUGUAAGUAACUAUGCACGUCUUGACGGUACCUAAUCAGAAAGCCACGGCUAACUACGUG
rnacentral:rRNA from 1 species